rnacentral:rRNA from 1 species
UACGAAGGGGGCUAGCGUUGUUCGGAUUUACUGGGCGUAAAGCGCACGUAGGCGGAUUGUUAAGUCAGGGGUGAAAUCCCGGAGCUCAACUCCGGAACUGCCUUUGAUACUGGCAAUCUUGAGGCUGGAAGAGGUUAGUGGAAUUCCCAGUGUAGAGGUGAAAUUCGUAGAUAUUGGGAAGAACACCAGUGGCGAAGGCGGCUAACUGGUCCAGAUCUGACGCUGAGGCACGAAAGCGUGGGGAGCAAACAGG